CAGCCGCCGCGGUAAUACCGGCGGCCCGAGUGGCGGUCACUAUUAUUGGGCUUAAAGCGUCCGUAGCCGGGUUGGGAAGUCCUCCGGGAAAUCUGGCCGCUUAACGGUCAGAAUGCCGGAGGAUACUCCCAGCCUAGGGAGCGGGAGAGGCCGAGGGUAUUCCCGGGGUAGGGGUGAAAUCCUAUAAUCCCGGGAGGGCCACCUGUGGCGAAGGCGCUCGGCUGGAACGCGUCCGACGGUGAGGGACGAAGGCCAGGGGAGCAAACCGGAUUAGAUACCCGGGUAGUCCUGGCGGUAAACGAUGCGGACUUUGUGUCGGACAAGCUAUGAGCUUGUCCGGUGCCGGAGGGAAACCGUUAAGUCCGCCGCCUGGGGAGUACGGCCGCAAGGCUGAAACUUAAAGGAAUUGGCGGG
rnacentral:rRNA from 1 species